CACGUGGAGUGUCUGGGACUAGACGUUGGAAAGGCAGAAGAAGGCUGUGUGUACAUGAGAGUGUGUGAGAAUGGGCCGAAUCCUCAGGCUGGUGAUAGUGUGUGUUCUGCUUCAGUUGCAGCUGGCAAUCGGUCAAGAAAGGUAUGAGUAUGUGACUGAGCAUGGACGGCUGGAGUGUGUGGUCACCCAGGAGCAGAAGUGUAACUUUGUCUGUGACUGCAGCGACUGCCGCGACGAACGGGACUGCGGCUAUAAAGGUCAGGGGUUUAUAUGUGAUUUUGAAGAUGCGAGUGUGUGUGGCUGGACAGACGUUUCAUCUCAGAGCAUCUACACGUGGAAGCAAAUGCAAAGUGGACAAACGCACACACACACACUCCCCAGCAGCGGCCCCUCCUGUGACUACACCACAGGCAGCUCCACAG
rnacentral:lncRNA from 1 species